rnacentral:rRNA from 2 species
UGUCGUCAGCUCGUGUUGUGAAAUGUUGGGUUAAGUCCCGCAACGAGCGCAACCCUUAUCCUUUGUUGCCAGCGGUCCGGCCGGGAACUCAAAGGAGACUGCCAGUGAUAAACUGGAGGAAGGUGGGGAUGACGUCAAGUCAUCAUGGCCCUUACGACCAGGGCUACACACGUGCUACAAUGGCGCAUACAAAGAGAAGCGACCUCGCGAGAGCAAGCGGACCUCAUAAAGUGCGUCGUAGUCCGGAUUGGAGUCUGCAACUCGACUCCAUGAAGUCGGAAUCGCUAGUAAUCGUGGAUCAGAAUGCCACGGUGAAUACGUUCCCGGGCCUUGUACACACCGCCCGUCACACCAUGGGAGUGGGUUGCAAAAGAAGUAGGUAGCUUAACCUU